ACCCGCUGAACUUAAGCAUAUCAAUAAGCGGAGGAAAAGAAACCAACAGGGAUUGCCCUAGUAACGGCGAGUGAAGCGGCAACAGCUCAAAUUUGAAAUCUGGCUCUCGGGCCCGAGUUGUAAUUUGUAGAGGAUGCUUUUGAUGCGGUGCCUUCCGAGUUCCCUGGAACGGGACGCCAUAGAGGGUGAGAGCCCCGUCUGGUUGGAUGCCAAAUCUCUGUAAAGCUCCUUCGACGAGUCGAGUAGUUUGGGAAUGCUGCUCUAAAUGGGAGGUAUAUGUCUUCUAAAGCUAAAUACCGGCCAGAGACCGAUAGCGCACAAGUAGAGUGAUCGAAAGAUGAAAAGCACUUUGAAAAGAGAGUUAAAAAGUACGUGAAAUUGUUGAAAGGGAAGCGUUUAUGACCAGACUUGGGCUUGGUUAAUCAUCUGGGGUUCUCCCCAGUGCACUUUUCCAGUCCAGGCCAGCAUCAGUUUUCGCCGGGGGAUAAAGGCUUCGGGAAUGUGGCUCCCUCCGGGGAGUGUUAUAGCCCGUUGCGUAAUACCCUGGCGGGGACUGAGGUUCGCGCUUCUGCAAGGAUGCUGGCGUAAUGGUCAU
rnacentral:rRNA from 1 species